AGAGUUUGAUCCUGGCUCAGAAUCAACGCUGGCGGCGCGCUUAACACAUGCAAGUCGGACGGGAAAGUGGGCAACCAUGAGUACAGUGGCGUACGGGUGAGUAACACGUGGGCAAUCUACCUCUUAGUGGGGAAUAACCCUGGGAAACCGGGGCUAAUACCGCAUAAGCUCGAGAGAGGAAAGCAGCAAUGCGCUGAGAGAGGAGCCCGCGGCCGAUUAGCUAGUUGGUGAGGUAAAAGCCCACCAAGGCUGAGAUCGGUAGCCGGCCUGAGAGGGCACACGGCCACACUGGCACUGAAACACGGGCCAGACUCCUACGGGAGGCAGCAGUGGGGAAUCUUGCACAAUGGGGGCAACCCUGAUGCAGCGACGCCGCGUGAGCGAUGAAGCCCUUCGGGGUGUAAAGCUCUUUCGGCAGGGAAGAUUAUGACGGUACCUGCAGAAGCAGCUGCGGCUAACUACGUGCCAGCAGCCGCGGUAAUACGUAGGCAGCGAGCGUUGUUCGGAGUUACUGGGCGUAAAGGGUGUGUAGGCGGCUUUCUAAGUUUGGUGUGAAAUCUCCCGGCUUAACCGGGAGGGUGCGCCGAAUACUGAAAGGCUAGAGUGCGGGAGAGGAGAGUGGAAUUCCUGGUGUAGCGGUGAAAUGCGUAGAUAUCAGGAGGAACACCGGGUGUAGACGGCUCUCUGGACCGUAACUGACGCUGAGACACGAAAGCGUGGGUAGCAAACAGGAUUAGAUACCCUAGUAGUCC
rnacentral:rRNA from 1 species